rnacentral:tRNA from 1 species
GUAGACAUAGUUUUAACCAAAACAUUAGAUUGUGAUUCUAAAAAUAGAGGUUAAAACCCUCUUGUCCAC